rnacentral:tRNA from 1 species
GCUCGGGUGGCGAAACCGGUAGACGCGAGGGACUUAAAAUCCCUUGAGGGCAACCUCUUGCGGGUUCGAUCCCCGCCCCGAGCA